rnacentral:rRNA from 1 species
CAAAGGAAGUUGACGGGGCCCGCACAAGCGGUGGAGCAUGUGGUUAAUUCGAAGCAACGCGAAGAACCUUACCAGGCCUUGACAUGCAGAGAACUUUCCAGAGAUGGAUUGGUGCCUUCGGGAACUCUGACACAGGUGCUGCAUGGCUGUCGUCAGCUCGUGUCGUGAGAUGUUGGGUUAAGUCCCGUAACGAGCGCAACCCUUGUCCUUAGUUACCAGCACGUUAUGGUGGGCACUCUAAGGAGACUGCCGGUGACAAACCGGAGGAAGGUGGGGAUGACGUCAAGCCAUCAUGGCCCUUACGGCCUGGGCUACGCACGUGCUACAAUGGUCGGUACAAAGGGUUGCCAAGCCGCGAGGUGGAGCUAAUCCCAUAAAACCGAUCGUAGUCCGGAUCGCAGUCUGCAACUCGACUGCGUGAAGUCGGAAUCGCUAGUAAUCGUGAAUCAGAAUGUCACGGUGAAUACGUUCCCGGGCCUU